rnacentral:piRNA from 1 species
UACGUUGUCUCCGGUGACUUGAGCGUGCG